rnacentral:rRNA from 1 species
CUUGUUUUCUAUUAAGACCUGUAUGAAAGACCACACGAGAAUCACACUGUCUCCUCUCUCCAAUCAGCGAAACUAAUCUCCUCGUGAAAAAGCGAGAAUUACCUUAUAAGACGAAAAGACCCUGUGGAGCUUUAAACAGCCUGACAACUAAUAUAAUUUUAUUACUUUUAGCAUGAUUACAAGUUUUUGGUUGGGGUGACCCUGGAGAAUAAACUAACCUCCAAGAUGACAUAUGAAUCUCCUUUAGCAUAAAGCUACAAUUUUACGCAUCAGUAUACUGACAUCAAUUGACCCUUAUUGAUCAACGAACCAAGUUACCCCAGGGAUAACAGCGCAAUCUACUUCAAGAGUACAUAUCGACAAGCAG